CUAAUCUAGGAAGUGAAAGGGAGUCAACUCCCAGAGGCAGCACAGGGCUACUGGUGUACCUUCUAUGCCUUGUGUAGACAGCACUGCUCUUCAGAAGGCACCAGACAGGUGGACCACCCGUAGCUCACAAUGGUGGCCAGUUCAUGAACACACCUUUGCAUGGUUGUCCUCUCCUCUGACUCACCCUUGCUUGUCCCCCUACUGCUGCUCCCUGGAAACACUUCUCAAAUGAGCUGCCUGUUACAAGUUCUUAUUUAUGCUCUGCCUUGGAGAAAACCCAAGUGAGGACAGUUCUUCAUACUGAGAUGCCGAAACUGCUCUCUGCCCAUCCUUCCCAAGGUCUUUUGACCUCCUGAAUCACCCUAACACCUUCCAUGGGAAAAAGAAAGUCUUCUAGCAUGGGAUGGUCAAGCAGCAGUUGACUGCACAUUGACUUGAGCUCUAUUAAAAAGGCAAAAAUCA